ACCCAAUUAGCUCAGUUGAUAGAAUAUGAGACUCUUAAUCUCAGGGCUGUGGGUUCAAGUCCCACAUUGGGCG